rnacentral:lncRNA from 1 species
UAAGUUGAUCAAAUUAAAAUUAAUGAACCGGUUGGUGUCUAAGGUAAGUUCGGCAGUUUGACCAGUGGUUCUUAAGUGGGAGCUACUCACAUUGAUUCGAUCUCUGAUGAGUUAAUGGCAUAUCCCCACCACUGAUCUCACUUACCUGGCCAACCUGGUGAGUUAGGUUUUGAUUAGGUCACUUGGUGAUUAGAGCUCACC